UGCCCGCCAUGGCGGCCGGGAGGGCCUCGGGAUCCGUCCCGGCCCCGGCGCCACCGCCCGGCCCCGGCUAGAGCCGCCUGCUCCUCUUCACCUGCCGUAUUCCUGACCAGCCUGAUGGCAGCGCGGUCAUCUCCCCUCAGCCCCGCACGGCGCUGCCGCUGCCCAAGGCCCCGGCCGAGCAUUGAGCCCCUGGUGAGGCGACCAGCGGCAGGGCCUCCACGGGCCCCAGCGGUACAGCCAGUUUCUGAAGGAGAUCAGUGGCCUCAGUUGCUCUGUCUCUUGCCCAGGGCUCAACUUCCAUGCCUGCUCUUGAAAAUGGUGGGAAGUGAGGAUCCUUCUGCUCAGUCUCAGCUGUCUCCUACAAUGUCCUGUUACUCGGAGCUGAUUCACAAGAGCUGUCAGAAGUGGUGCUACCUUCCCCCUGAAAUGUUAUCAGUCAUGUGAAGCUUUUAGGUGACAAAAUUACCAUGACUCACAAAUGACAGUGAUGGUUGCUAGAAGCUCCUGAGCUGUCUCAGUUGCUAAAGUGUGAGAAGGCUGUUCACCUCGAUUUACCUUCUCAGACCCCAAAACAUAGAGCAAUUUCAGGAAAAAGCCGUUGUAUUUUAAAUAUAUAGCUUUUCUGGAAUAUUUUGUGUGUAUUUAGGGCAGUUGUUACUCCCUUUGAAGUUCAAAAUGAAAAUGUACUGACUGCCCAAAAAAGUUUGCACUGCCACUUCAUAUGCUGUGUGCUUAAACAGCAGCUUUAAUCUUGCAGCAGGGCCUGUCACAAGGACUGUAAUUGCAUGAAAACAGCAAAACACAAAUGCAUGAUAUACUGCAUACAUAAAGUGGAAACUUGUUAACUCGUUAGUUAAAAUACAAACCUCAAUGCCAAGAAACCAGAUGUUACCUAAUUUGAUAAGGACUGCUUGAUCAUGUAUGUAACUGUAGAUCUUUGUGACUGAAAUGAUUGUUACUGUUAUUUUGCUCCCUGUACUAUUUUAGUACCCACAUAGCCUAUGUGAGAAGCAUCUUGUGGCUGCAAAGUAGGCACGUCCUUUCCUCAGAGAAUUUGCAUUGGAGGCAAAUCAGUUUCUGUGGAACAGAAAAUCUAACCUUAAAGGAAGCUAGCUACUUCUCCUUUCUUUUUUAAAGUUUAGUUUCUCCCUUCUAGUUUAUGCAUAUUCUAAAGAUCCACCCAGUUACAGCAUUUAUUAUUAUUUUUUUUUCAGAUGUGUAUCUGUCAAGUUGUUAAAUAAAAAAGCAAAGCACCAAACAGUGCAUUUGAAAAUUAAA